rnacentral:rRNA from 1 species
GCCAGACUCCUACGGGAGGCAGCAGUGGGGAAUAUUGCACAAUGGGGGAAACCCUGAUGCAGCGACGCCGCGUGAGUGAAGAAGUAUUUCGGUAUGUAAAGCUCUAUCAGCAGGAACGAGACAAGACGGUACCUGACUAAGAAGCCCCGGCUAACUACGUGCCAGCAGCCGCGGUAAUACGUAGGGGGCAAGCGUUAUCCGGAAUCACUGGGUGUAAAGGGAGCGUAGACGGCUGUGCAAGCCUGAAGUGAAAGGCGGGGGCCCAACCCCUGGACUGCUUUGGGAACUGUACGGCUGGAGUGCAGGAGAGGUAAGUGGAAUUCCUAGUGUAGCAGUGAAAUGCGUAGAUAUUAGGAGGAACACCAGUGGCGAAGGCGGCUUACUGGACUGUAACUGACGUUGAGGCUCGAAAGCGUGGGGAGCAAACAGGAUUAGAUACCCGGGUA